rnacentral:rRNA from 1 species
UACAGAGGGGGCAAGCGUUAUUCGGAAUUAUUGGGCGUAAAGGGCGCGUAGGCGGUCUGACAAGUGGAAGGUGGAAAUCCCCGCGCUUAACGUGGGAACUGCCUUCCAAACUGUUUGACUUGAGUCCGGGAGAGGUGAGUGGAAUUCCCGAGUGUAGCGGUGAAAUGCGUAGAUAUUGGGAGGAACACCAGUGGCGAAGGCGGCUCACUGGACCGGAACUGACGCUGAGGCGCGAAAGCGUGGGGAGCAAACAGGG